UACGGAGGGUGCAAGCGUUGUCCGGAUUUAUUGGGUUUAAAGGGUGCGUAGGCGGCCCCAUAAGUCUGCGGUGAAACCCACGGGCUCAACCCGUGGCGUGCCGACGAUACUGUGGGGCUUGGGUCGUCUCUGGGCGGGCGGAAUGGAAGGUGUAGCGGUGAAAUGCAUAGAUAUCUACCAGAACGCCGAUAGCGAAAGGCAGCUCGCUGGGGACGUACCGGACGCUG
rnacentral:rRNA from 1 species